UAGGUUCCUUUGCUUUUCUUGAUAGUUUCUUCGUUUCCUAAUAGUUGAUGUCAUUAUGUAUGUGCAGAUUAAGCAAUGGUGAAGAGAAUUGUUGCUUGAGGGCAGUACUAGAGAGUAGAGACUAUAAGGUCUGGUCCAAGAUGGCGGAGUUUUACGGUUUGCUGAAGCCCUACAUGUGAGACGAGAGGGUUACGAGAGGGGACAUUGAUGUAUGAGCUUUACGGUCAAACAGAGGUCGAAUGUUCGAUCAAUGGGUAAGUUAUUGGUGAGGUGAAAGCCUAUGUAUGUAGUAUUUUGGAUUUCGAUAAGGGAUAGUAUGGUCAAUAUACAAUCAAUUAAUUAUUUCUUUUCUUUACAUCUACUCUUACAACUUAUCACAUUCAUUUUUACCAAACAAUGGUUUUUGAGAUCCACAAGUAUUCAAUAAACUCAAAUUCCCCAAUUCCCCAAUAUCACGUUUCCCCCACAACAAACGACCCCUAAAUUCCAUCUAGACUUGCCACCAGCCAAACCAAAU
rnacentral:lncRNA from 1 species